rnacentral:rRNA from 1 species
GAUGAACGCUAGCGGGAGGCCUAACACAUGCAAGCCGAGCGGUAUUGUUUCUUCGGAAGUGAGAGAGCGGCGUACGGGUGCGGAACACGUGUGCAACCUGCCUUUAUCUGGGGGAUAGCCUUUCGAAAGGAAGAUUAAUACUCCAUAACAUAUUGAACGGCAUCGUUUGAUAUUGAAAGCUCCGGCGGAUAGAGAUGGGCACGCGCAAGAUUAGCUAGUUGGUGAGGUAACGGCUCACCAAGGCGAUGAUCUUUAGGGGGCCUGAGAGGGUGAUCCCCCACACUGAGACUGAGACACGGACCAGACUCCUACGGGAGGCAGCAGUGAGGAAUAUUGGUCAAUGGGUGCAAGCCUGAACCAGCCAUCCCGCGUGAAGGACGACGGCCCUAUGGGUUGUAAACUUCUUUUGUAUAGGGAUAAACCUACUCUCGUGAGAGUAGCUGAAGGUACUAUACGAAUAAGCACCGGCUAACUCCGUGCCAGCCGCCGCAGUAAAAC